AAAACUCGUAAGAUGAAAGAGAUGGAAAUGAGUUUGUUGAAAGAAUUUGUGCGUGUUUUGUGGGAUUUUUGUUGUUUAUGAUGUUGUUAUGUUACAGGUGAGUAGUUAGUUUAAGUUCCGUUUUGCAUAAGCUAAUUAUGGAACAUCUGAAUGGGUGAGUAAAAAGGAGCAUUAGUGUGGUGUGAGUCAGUGCUUGCCCUUAUUUCUCUCUCUUCUCUUAUAUAAGAAGGUAUAUGUGGGUUAGGGUUUUGAGGGAGAAAGAAGGAAACGCGUUGAGAUGGGUUGGUAUUGAGGGGAAUGUUGGCUGGCUCGAGGCUUUUCACAAACGAGGUUCACAGUGGAUGGAACUAUAAGGCUUCGGACCAGGCUUCAUUCCCCUCAAAAGUACUUCCUUCAUGGAUCAGUUUCUACUUUCUAAUCAUCAACUACUUCAAACACAACAUAUAUAUAUAUAUAUAUAUAUAUAUAUGUAGCUACCUAGGUUCUGCUGCUUUUUUUUUCGACCUUGCAAAGGUGAGGUUGAGAGGAAUGUUGUCUGGCUCGAGGUCAUGGAGGAGGAGAGUUCUCAGUUCAACUCUUUCACUCAAAGUUUCCAAUGGAAAUUUACCCUCUAACACCAAAAUGAUUCUCGGACCAGGCUUCAUUCCCCCCACCCAACUUUUGCUAUUUUCUUUCUCACAAUCUUCAUACUCUGCAUGCUCCCAUGGUAAGUCUUUCUCUUUCUUUCAUCUUUCUCUCAAAUUUUAACACUCAACUCAAUAUCCCCUUUUGCAGCUUCUUUUUGCAGGCUCAGAAUUUUCAACUCACAACCUGUAAAUCUUUGUAAAGGUUGUAUUUUUCGUAGCUUCUCACAAAUCGUUACUGUAGAACUUCUUUGAUGGGUUAAUCAAUUUGUUUACAUGUAUGGCUUAAGAAACAACUUUGAGUUUGCUUCUGUACAUAUUGUUGUGUAACUAUGCUCUCAAGUUUCUCAAGUUUUCGUAUCUGUGAAGAAUGAAUCCACGUUUGAAAAUGUAUUCAUCUUAGGGGUAGUCAUAUUUUUUAAAAUGAAUUGCUAUGUUCUGAAAUAGGCUUCUUGUUUUUGUGUAUUUUCUCUCUCUCACGUUCACUCAGGGAGAGAGGCAUGUGGAGGGCAAAGCAAAUCUGUCUAGUUUUCUGGAUACUAAUUGUAUAUUAAGAUUUGAGAGAGAUAAGAUAGUAAGAAUAUAUUAAGAAAAAAGUUGGCUAAUCCAAGGCUCUCACACCUGCGGGAAUGUUUAUUUCACGUGGACAAGAAAGGUGAAUGAAAGCAUCAACAGUGAAAACCUAUCAGAUGUGAAAUUCUUUCUUUAUCUGCAACUAGCUGCUAUACCUCUUAGGUCUUUCUAGCGUUUCAAAACAUAACAUCCCUCUUCUGAAGUCCUUCCAGAUUUGAAUAAUGUUUCAGCUUUCUGUCAAUUAACCUGUUUUCAGGCCGGUGAAAAUUAUAGGGAAGGCAACUCCAUAAUUUACUUGGGAAAAAGGCUUUGCCAUCAUUUUCAUCAACAUCUGAAUGAAUGUACUUCAGUGAAAUGACAGUGACGAGUGUUGAAGGCAUGCACUGAGUAGCUGGUGAAGCUGCUGAGAGGCAUAUGCUAAAGGAGAAAGAGUAAUGAAUGAAAGAAAAGAAGAGAAGAGAUGUGCUGGAACAGUUAACGAGAAGAAGUGAGAAUCAGGAGAAGCUAUGUGUCUGAGGCUGUGAGUUUUGGUAGCUAGGUGGAGAACAGAUAUAUGAUUAUGAUCUAUGACCACACCACGCCAGCUUCCAUUAUCAUGACGACCCAGAUGUGUGUAUCUAGCUGCAUGCAUAACUAAGCUGAUGCAAACUAAACCUGGAAAAAAGAGAAAGAGAAAAUGCAACUUCUCUUGUAUUCUAUUAUUAAGACUGAGUCUGAUAUGUGUGUUUUAGUGUAAUGUAUUUAUGGAGCUUCUAAAGCUGUUGAAAAUUCAGAAACCAUCUCCGGAAAAGGUUGGAUCAUCACCCUUUUCGUGGAGUCACUGUAGUAAUAGUGAGAUGAGAUCUUUUAGCAUUUGAAAUUGAAAAGCAUUUGGAGAGAGAAAGAGAGAAAGAGAGAAAGUAAAUGUAGAGUAUCUGAUAUGUUUCUUGGGAAAUGAAACUAAGAGAAAGACACAGCAACUCGGGGACCGGUUCAUGACAAACUUGGUCUCUUUAAAGAAGUGAAACAAUUGCACUCCUUUUAUUGUUGA